GAAGUGAAACACCUUCGGGUUGUGAGGUUAAUGUGACUAAGUCGUACUAUUGGUGGAUGCCGCAGC
rnacentral:rRNA from 1 species